rnacentral:rRNA from 1 species
GAUGAACGCUGGCGGCGUGCUUAACACAUGCAAGUCGAACGGAAAGGCUCCUGCUUGCAGGGGUACUCGAGUGGCGAACGGGUGAGUAACACGUGGGUGAUCUGCCCUGCACUUCGGGAUAAGCCUGGGAAACUGGGUCUAAUACCGGAUAGGACGAUGGUUUGGAUGCCAUUGUGGAAAGUUUUUCGGUGUGGGAUGAGCUCGCGGGCUAUCAGCUUGUUGGUGGGGUAAUGGCCUACCAAGGCGUCGACGGGUAGCCGGCCUGAGAGGGUGUACGGCCACAUUGGGACUGAGAUACGGCCCAGACUCCUACGGGAGGCAGCAGUGGGGAAUAUUGCACAAUGGGCGCAAGCCUGAUGCAGCGACGCCGCGUGGGGGAUGACGGCCUUCGGGUUGUAAACUCCUUUCGCUAGGGACGAAGCGCAAGUGACGGUACCUGGAGAAGAAGCACCGGCUAACUACGUG